ensembl:lncRNA
UUUUUGUUUUUUUUUUUUUUUUUGGGGGGGGGUUGCCUGCAGCAUAUGGAAGUUCCUGGGCGGGGGACAGCCACAGCAAUGUGGGAUCCCAGCCGCGUCUGGGACUUAAACCACAACUCACAGCAACACUGGAUCCUUAACCCACUGAGCAAGGCUAGAGAUUGAAUCCGCAUCCUCAUGAAUGCUAGUUCAACCCACUGAGCCACAAGGGGAACUCCAUGAGAUUUUUUGAGCAGGAAUUAGGUGUCAGUUAUUGUUCUGGGUCUGGGCAUUGUGAUAUUAUGAUUUAUGACAAAAAAAUAUAUAUGUAGUCUUUGGUUCCUGGUUGACAGCUCCCAAAACCCUGAGAAUUUCCUGAGCAACAAGGGCAAAGGGAGCAUCUUUUCUUUUUUUUUUUUACAAUAUUUGAUCUCUUGUCUUCAGUUCCUGAAAUCACUUCAGAGUCAUAAGGUGAAAUGAGUGUCUUGUUACUCAUAACAAGUCCCUUUCCACCACAACUGGGUUUAUGCUGAUGAGAUGACUUUUGAAAGCACCUAAGGUGAGGGCUGGCUGUCAGUGAAGCCAAGCAUGGGAUUAGAGGGUUGGAACGUUCAGUCGCACCCUGACCCUCCCCAAGGAGAAGAGGGGCUGGAGAUUGAGCUCAAUCACCAAUGACCAAUGGUUACAGCUAUGCAUGUGUAGUGAAGCCUCCAUAAAAACCCAAAAGGACAGGGUUCAAAGAGCUUCCAGGCUGUUGAACACAUGGAAGUGGGGGAAGGUGGUGCACCUUCGGAAGACAUGGAAGCUCCUCACCCUUUCCUCAUACCUUGCCCUAAGUACCUGGAUGUUUCUAAAUUAUAUCUUCUCAUAAUAAACCAGUGACCUAGUGAGUAAAAUGUUUCUCUGAGUUUGUCAGCUUCUCUAGCAAAUUAAUUGAACUCAAAGAGGGACUGCAGGAACCUCUAACUUAUAGCCAGUUGGUCAAAGAGUGGUGACAACCUGGGCUUGCAAUUGGCAUCUAAAGUGGGUUUGAGGGGCAGUCUUGUAGGACUGAACCCCUGACAGUGAAAUCUGAUGCUUUCUCUGAGUAGAUGGUGUCAGAAUUGAGUUGAAUUGAAGGACACUCAGCUGGUAUCCAGAGAAUUGCUUGUUGGUGUGGGGGGAAACCUCCACCUUCCCACACAUCAUCACUGGCAACCAGAACCCUAUUAGGGAUGCACAAGAGAACAAAACAGGCAAAACCUUUUCUUCAUGCAAUGUAUACUCUAGCAAGAAAAUAAAGAUAAUAACAAAGUAAAAAUAUGCUUGACUCCGAGAAGUGCAAUGGAUGAAAAAUAGAAUAAGAGAACACAAGGUGACAGAGGGGCCUUGUCUUAAACAGAGGUUUCCAGACAGACCCCUCUGAGAAGGUGUCAUUUGAGCUAAGACUUGACAACUUGGCUACUAGGUGGAGGAUAGAGUAUGGAGAAGCCAGUGGGAGCAGGGGCCAGGAAAAGGCUACUGCAAUCGUCCGUCUGUUACCCAUAAGAGAUGAUGGUGGCUUAGACCAGGAUGGUAGCAGCAGAGGCAGUUGAUGAGAGGUGGUUGGAUUUUGGAUAUAUGCUGAAGGUGGAGCUGACAGAUUUGCUGAUUAAUUGAGUGCAAGGUCUGAGAGAAAGAGAGGAGUCAAGCAUGACUCCAAGACUUGUGGCCAGAACAGUAAGAAGAAUGGAUUGAGAUGGGGAAGGCUGGCCAAAAGAGAAACAAAAAGUUGUUUUGGCUAUGUUAGUUUGAGAUGCCUCUUAGACUUUCCAAGUGGAGAUGUCAAAUAUGCAGCUGGAUAUAUGAGUUCUGGGAAGAGGUCCAGGCUAGAGCUAUAAUUUGGGGAGUCAUCAGAUUACAGAUGAGAUUUAAAGCCAUGGGACUUGAUGAGAUCACCACUGAGGGAGGAGUAUGUGUAGAUGGAAGAGGUAAUGCUUAUUCAGCUAGCAACAUUCUCUGAGCUUCACUGUGGGCCAGGCCUCGAGCUAGGUGCUAGGUACAGAGAUGCACAUCCCUCGGCACCUGCCCAAGAGAAGCUCCAUUACUUAUUUAAUUUUUCCUGCCUAAGUGCUUUGUCCACUUAGAGGAUAAACAUUGAGAGUUCCUGCUCUGUGUCUUGGUUACCUGUUCAUUUCUUAAGGAGAUAUUUAUCGAGCACCUACUUGGUACUUGGUACAAGGCUCCCAUAUAGGCAUUAGGGACAUGAAUGGGAGUAGGUCAGAACUGGCUCCUUUCCUCACAGAGUUUACAUUUUGUAUGGAGGAAGUAGACACUGAAUAAGACACAUGGUAUUUCGUUAAAGCAGUCUGAACAGACAAAGACACUUCCCAUCCUCUCCUCAAUCCAUUCCACCAAAAGAGCUUCUCGAGGUCACCAGUAACCACUAUGCUGCUAAAUCCAGUGGCCAGUUCUCAGGGUCUUUCAAUGAUGUGUCACAGUUGCUGUCCUCCUCUCUGAAGCUCAUUCUUUGCUUGGCUUCCAACAUCCCCGGGACUCUCCUAUUUUUCUCCUGUCUUACUGGCUGCUCCUCCUCAGCCUCAUCUACUUGCUCUACCUCUUCUCCCUAACCUCUAAAGAAGAAGUGUCCCAGACCUGUCUUUGGACCACUGCUCAUAGUUUCCAUUUUCAAGCCUUUGAAUACCACCUCCAUGCUCACGACUCCUGUCUAAGUCCAUUCAAGAUGCUGUCACAGAACGUCUUAGACUAGGCGACUUAUAAACAAUAAACAUUGGAGUUCUUGUCGUGCCUUAGCAGAAAUGAAUCUGACUGGCAUUCAUGAGGACACAGGUUCGAUCCCUGGCCUCGCUCAGUGGGUUAAGGAUCCAGCGUUGCCGUGAGCUGUGGUGUAGGUUGCAGACGUGGCUUGGAUCUGGUGUUGCUGAGGCUGUGAUGUAGACCAGCAGCUACAGCUCUGAUUCGACCUCCAGCCUGGGAACCUCCAUAUGCCACAGGUAUGGCCCUAAAAAGACAAAAAAUAAAAAAAUAAAAACAAAAAAAUAAAUAUUUAUUUCUCAAGGUUUUAGAGACUAGUAGUCCAAGAUCAGGGUGCCAGCAUGAGCACGUGCUAGUGAGGGCCCACUUUCUGGUUCAGAGAUGCCCAUCUUCUCCCUGUGUCCUCACAUGGUGGAGGGGGCAAGGGAGCUCUCUGAGGGCUUCUCUAUAAGGCCCUAAUCCUAUUCAUGACCUAAUUAUAUCUCCAAAGCCCCACCUCCUAAUACCAUCACACUGGGGGGUUAGGUUUCAACAUAUGAAUUGGGGGGGGGGGAAUAUACAUAAACAUUCAGUCUGUAAGAACCCCCAGGUUUAUAGUCAGCCAGGAAGAUGUGUGUGUCCACUGGUAACCCCAUUUGCGGCUGGCAUCUAAACUGAGGGUUAGCCCUUAAUCUGUGGGGUCUGCACUAACUCUGGGGAGUGUCAGGAUUGAGUGAGUUACUGGACACCAAGUUGGAGUUGGAGAAUUAAAGAAUUGAUAUGGAAAAACGACACACACAUUUGGUAUCAGAGGUGGUGACAAAAAAAAGACACCACAGGUAAUCCCUGGGUAUCAGCACAGUGCUACAGAUACAGAUUUUAAUAAGUAUAAAAAUUAUAAGCCACACAUGGGAGAAAAGAAAAAAAGAUGUGAAUAAAUAGAAUGUGAUACCAAAUUUCUGGAUGGGAAGGCCAAAUAUAGUAAGAAUGGAAAAUUUUUCCCCAUGUAAAUUCAUAGAUGUAACACCAUUCCAAUCAAAAGAACCAGAAGGUGCCAAAUAGAACUUGAUUAAAUGAUUCUGGGAUGUGCUCAGACAAAUCAACUAGCAAAACACUGCAAGAGUGAAAGGAGCCACAGGGAACACCUAGGCCUUUCAGAGGUACAAACUGGGAGGAAAGUUCUAGACCAGAGUCACACAGGUCUGAGCACCACUAAAUCUGAACUUACUAAGUCAGGAACCUGAAGACCAAAGAGAAUUUGGCCAGACAAAAGGCUGGGGAGGCGACAGUGGAGAAGUCAGUAUUUCAAAGAGGAGAAGCAGCCCCUGCAAGAUGUAGUACAGCCUUUCAGACUCAGCAGGUCCUGGAGAAGCUGGGAGUCUGGGAGUAAUGGGAGAUAAGAGUGACGGGUGGAGGCAGAUAACAAAGAGCCAAGAUAAGGGGGUGCAGAUGGGGUGUGCUCUAGGGGGGCAGACGUUGUCGCCUCCAUUGCUGGGCCCCUAGCUUCUAGCAUAGUGCGCGCAGUAGUUGUGUCAUGACUAUACUGAAGAUCUUCUCACUUAUACGGAUGCACUUGGUCUUCUUAACGUCUGUGUGGUAUUCAGAACUGCACAUCUCCCCUGCAGCAAGUCCACUCUGGGUAGACCUCAAGGUUGCUUCCAGUUUCUUAGGGAAUUAUAGUUAUGAAUAAACAUCCUUGCAUUUUGAAUAUAGCCCCCACUGCAUCAGGCCUGGGAGGGAUCACUGGAUUUCUGUGUGGUCCUGUUCUGCUUUCUUGCUGGCUUCCAAACAAGAACCCUUUUGCUGUGCCCAGCUCCCCUGAGACUGUGAGCCUAUAUUCCCCUCAGGCUCUCCCUGCCCCCAGCCCCAGUGUCUCAUCCCCUUUACAAUCAUCCUAGUCAGGGAUAUACAAUAAACAUUUGUUUGAGCAGCUGAAAUACUUAGCAGUUACACGUAUAAUCUAACCCAUCCAGGCUCUGAUUCACAUUACGGCUUCUCUCCCUAAGUCACUGGUGGCUCUUGAGUGAGAAAGCAGCACCCCUCAGCCCCACCUACCUAUGCUGAGCUAAGUAGCUUCCCCAAAGCCAAGCUCUUUUCUGUCCUCCAAGCUUUCUUUCCAUGUGCUUUUUCCUCUGCCUAGAUUGCUUUUCUUCUCCUCUCCUCAUGUACCUGGUUAACACCAACUGGUACUUCAAGUCUCAGCUCAGAAGCCACUCUCUCCAGGAAGUCUUCCCUGAGCACUCCAUUCAGUCUGGGUUAAGAGCUGCAGGAGCACCCAUUGCUGCUGCCCUUUAGCUGUCUGUGAAAGGUGUGGUUCUUGAUCACUCUUGUGUUCCCACCCAUUCUGUGACUCAGCCAAAACCCAGUUGAAUGAGUGGACAAAUGUCAAGUGGGCAAGGAAUGGGGAAAACCACCAGAGUCUCGGAUGCCACAUAUACGGGCCUGGGCAUUUAGAGCUGGAGUCAAAGCCUUCCGAAAGGGAAAAAAAAAAAAAAAACACUGGACUCCUGCAGGCACCGCCACGGAGUGUGCCAUGACAAGAAAAACUGGCAGCCCACAGAAGUCUGGAAUAACAAAAGAAACUGGUCCCCAGCUGCCUAGCUCCAGGGAACGUUUGUCAAUGUGACAUUCACAGAAGCCCUGCACAUGUGCUGGCUGAGGGGGAGAGCCAGCCUCAGCCAGACAGAAGAAAAUUCAGCUACUGUGCACAUGUUAGCACAGGGGGAGAUAUGACUUAGAAAUUCCUUCCUUUCUUUCUCUCUCUUUUUCUUUUACUUCUAUAAAAUCUCCAGAUAUUCUGCAUAUGUGUUUUUACCUUUAAAGAAUGUGUUCACUCUGAAGGUGCCAUUACCAAAUUAUAUUCACACUGUUCAUUAAAAAUCUGCUUAGUACAAAAUUGAGUUGCAAAAAUGUUAGAAUUCUAUGAAAUCAAUGCACCCUCUUGCUGCAUCAAAAACAAAACAAAACAAAACAUUAUCAGCAUUGUCAUUAAUCAUUUCAUACCCCUUCUACCCUGUGCCUGUGUUUCUUGUUCACUCUGCCAUAACGUAAGUUUUC